ACCUCUCAGAAGCAGUGUACAGGCUUGGGGGAGUCAGAGGUACAGAAAAGGUGAGGGAGAGGGAAGGAGCCUAGGAGAGAGCCUAGGAGGGUGUUGGUUGUGGGUGGGAGUAUAGUGAGGCAGCCUGGUUCCCAGCCGCCCCAGAAAGUUACGAGCCCCUUCUGACGCCAAAGUGGGCGGAGCCAGUGGAGCUUGCACCUGCCCUCCAGAGGUCAGGGCACAGGACAGGAAGUACAAAAGCCCAAUCCCACAGCUCACUAGAGCCCCGGCCGCCAGACAAGCCAGAUGCCUGUGGCCUAGCUCCCAGUGGGGAGACUCCUGCAGUCUGCGAUCAACCCGAGGACUGGCCAGACCAGCCGAGGCCUGAUGAUGACCAGACCCCGGAGAAGCUGUUAAGCCUGCCUGUGGCAAGCUAUCCGGAGGAGCUGCCAAGCCUACCGCUCACCGGGAACCCUGAGGAGCCCAUGGUGCUUGAUGCCGUGGAGGACACCGUUCAAACGCAGGCAGCCUGUGACUUGCUACAGAGAAUAAUACGCAUCUUGUAUCUAAGUAAGAGACUUCAAGGACAGCUGCAAGGAGGAAGCACAGAGAUAACAAAAGCUGCCCAGAGUCUCAAUGAACUUGACUUCUGUUCUGAAAGGGCUUUGACAAGCACUUGCACGAGGUUGCGAAAUGGUCAUUGGAUGAGAGGCAAAGGAUUGUCAUCAAUCAAAAACUGGGUAAGAGACAGAAGGCUACUGAUAAGAUUAAAUGGUUAAUUUUCAAAAUAAUGAAAGGUUAACAACAGGAUCCCCUACGUUCUCAGCUAGGUCUGGAAGGGGUCGGGGCGGCAAGUAGUGGGGUAAUAAUUUAGAUUAUAGUUACUUAAAUUAGUCAGGACCAGAGAGGACUGUGAGAAAAUUCAGAGAUCUAACCAAGCUAGGUGAAUGGUCGGUGUGAUGUCUGACAAAGUUCACUGUUGAUGAUAAAUGCAAAGUAAUGCAUAUUGGAGGGGAAAAAAAUCAUGUUCCUAGGUGCUUCUCCAGUGCUGCUGCUGGCACAGUGCCUUGAAGAGCUUCUUCUUAUGUGGAGCACCAUUGCAUUGGCCAUGGAACUGUAGCCUUACAGCCACAAUCAUAACUGUUUUUUUCACUUUUGUGCUUGUAGAAUAUUAAUCAUAAUUCUCAGGUAACCUUUUUUUGUGGUCCAUAUGUUCCCCAUCUUCACAAAAACAAAGGAAGUAGAACAUAAACUAAUUUACAAACUCUUCAGCUCUUUUAGAGCUACAAAACCUUGGAAUUCUCUCUUGCCUGAGGUGCCAACCCCUGUCCCAGAGCAGGGGUCUGCUUUCUAUGCAGCUGGUCAGAUAUGUGAAUGUUUUGCAGAAGAGAACAUUCAUUCUUUCCAUACAGCCCCUCUGUGGCUUUUUCUAGGAUUUUCCUUCCCACGGCACAACACGAGGUGUCUUAGUACUGGUACUUAAGAAGUCCCUGAGCUAAGGGUACACCAUGGACCAAAAACCAAGAGGCUAUUACAGACGUUAUCAUUUGAUUCAGCAAUGUUUUCCUGUUUAGAACAGGAAACCAAUGCAAAAGAGAUAAUGGAGGAUAAAAGGAAAAUGAAGUGUUUUUAAUCGGUUCAUAUUUAAUAUGAAUUUCUGUACAAGAUGUGGAGUCCUGAUCUUCUAUUCCAUGCUUAUUUUAUAUCUCUGGGUCAGCAUGGCUUUGUUCAGUCUUAACAAUUUAUCAUCAUGGUAUUUGAACAAGUCUUAUUACAAAGCUUUGAAAAGGAAAGCCUCCCUGCUUCUAGCUGGACAGGAUUUACUACCAUAGACUAGGGAAGUGCAUGGGAAAAAUAUCAAUGUCCUAGUGCAGGGGUAGGCAACCUAUGGCACACAUGCCAAAGGUGGCAUACAAGCUGAUUUUCAGUAGCACUA